ACUCGGAGUAUGUGCCAAUUUAUAUUUGCAUGGGCAUGAUGAAAAUUAUCAAUUUAGUUUACCUAUAUGAGACUAAACAAUGCAUAGGGUAAUUAUCAUGUAUGAGUAUUUUGAUUGUCAUGUUUAUUUUAAUAUUAACAACAUGAUGCGCUAUGCUAUUUCUAAUGCCAAAUUAGUAUAGGAAAAAACAUUUGUCGAGCAAUUCAUUUAGAUGAUACAUGCAUGCAUCCAUAUAAGGGAAUACAUAAUGUGAUUCAUU
rnacentral:lncRNA from 1 species